rnacentral:rRNA from 1 species
UACGUAGGGGGCAAGCGUUGUCCGGAUUUAUUGGGCGUAAAGAGCGUGUAGGCGGCCCGGUAAGUCCGCUGUGAAAGUCGGGGGCUCAACCCUCGAAUGCCGGUGGAUACUGUCGGGCUAGAGUGCGGAAGAGGCGAGUGGAAUUCCUGGUGUAGCGGUGAAAUGCGCAGAUAUCAGGAGGAACACCGAUUGCGAAGGCAGCUCGCUGGGACGUAACUGACGCUGAGACGCGAAAGCUAGGGGAGCGAACGGG